UACGUAGGGUGCGAGCGUUGUCCGGAAUUAUUGGGCGUAAAGGGCUCGUAGGCGGUUUGUCGCGUCGGUAGUGAAAACACCGGGCUUAACUCGGUGCUUGCUUUCGAUACGGGCAGACUAGAGGUAUGCAGGGGAGAACGGAAUUCCUGGUGUAGCGGUGAAAUGCGUAGAUAUCGGGAGGAACACCAGUGGCGAAGGCGGUUGCCUGGAGCUUUGCUGACGCUGAUGCGCGAAAGCGUGGGGAGCGAUCCGG
rnacentral:rRNA from 1 species